GAUGAACGCUGGCGGCGUGCCUAAUACAUGCAAGUCGAGCGAACAGACGAGGAGCUUGCUCCUCUGACGUUAGCGGCGGACGGGUGAGUAACACGUGGAUAACCUACCUAUAAGACUGGGAUAACUUCGGGAAACCGGAGCUAAUACCGGAUAAUAUAUUGAACCGCAUGGUUCAAUAGUGAAAGACGGUUUUGCUGUCACUUAUAGAUGGAUCCGCGCCGCAUUAGCUAGUUGGUAAGGUAACGGCUUACCAAGGCAACGAGGCGUAGCCGACCUGAGAGAGUGGUCGGCCACACUGGAGCUGAGACACGGUCCAGACUCCUACGGGAGGCAGCAGUAGGGAAUCUUCCGCAAUGGGCGAAAGCCUGACGGAGCAACGCCGCGUGAGUGAUGAAGGUCUUCGGAGCGUAAAGCUCUGUUAUUAGGGAAGAACAAAUGUGUAAGUAACUAUGCACGUAUUGACGGUAACUAAUCAGAAAGCCACGGCUAACUACGUG
rnacentral:rRNA from 1 species